AACGAACGCUGGCGGCGCGCUUAACACAUGCAAGUCGAACGGGCGUGAUGGCUUCGGCCAUGACGUCAGUGGCGGACGGGUGAGUAGCGCGUGGGAACCUGCCCCAAGGUCUGGGACAACCGCGGGAAACUGCGGCUAAUACCGGAUGAUGCCGCCUUUGGGCGGCCAAAGCUUGAUGUGCCUUGGGAUGGGCCCGCGUCCGAUUAGCUGGUUGGUGGGGUAAUGGCCUACCAAGGCAUCGAUCGGUAGCUGGUCUGAGAGGACGAUCAGCCACACUGGGACUGAGACACGGCCCAGACUCCUACGGGAGGCAGCAGUGGGGAAUCUUGGACAAUGGGCGCAAGCCUGAUCCAGCGACGCCGCGUGGGUGACGAAGGCCUUCGGGUUGUAAAGCCCUUUCGACGGGGACGAUGAUGACGGUACCCGGCGAAGAAGCACCGGCUAACUCCGUGCCAGCAGCCGCAGUAACAC
rnacentral:rRNA from 1 species